ensembl:lncRNA
UUCCUGCUGGAGAUCUCUGUCUGAGACCUACACUACCUGAGGCCUUCCAAAGCAGGUCACCAGGAUAGUCCGGAGCACUUGCCCUGAGAGUUGAGGCAGAGAAAAUGGAGCUUGUUCAGCCUGGAGAACAGAAGGCUUGGCAUAGGAGGGACAUCAAAUAUCAGCCUUCCAGUACUUACAGGGAGGUAAUAAGGAAGAUGGAAGCAAACUUUUGAUGAUUAUGCACAAUAUAAGGACAAGAGACAACGGGCAUAAUGUGAAACUUCAGACUGGAUAGAGGGAAACACUUUUUCACCAUGAGGGCUGUCAGGCAGUGAAUCAGAUUGCCCAAAGGUUGUGCAGUUGGAGUUCACAAAGCCUUCACAGAUGGCCCUGCUAGAUUGGACUGGGUAGUAGGCUGGACUGGGUGACUCACUAAGUAUUUCUAUACCCCUAUGGUCAACUUAGAAACAACCCAGAAUCUGCAAAACUGAUAAGAAGCAAUUAUUUUCAGUAUGAGUACUGAUCUAAAUAUGGCUAUUAACACUAUGCAGAUAGGUAAUUUCCUUGGCACAAAAACUUUCACUAUAUAAUUAACUUCAUAGAUUUGUGCUUCAAUCCAUACUAAACAAAUUAUAUGCAGUGAUUUCUCCAUGUGCAUCCAGCAACAGUAUGGCAAGAACUAUAAAAAAUAAUAAUUUCUGUGAAUUUAAUUUAACAAAAUACUGUUGUUUCAGUGCACCCAGAAUGAUCCACAAUUUUUAAUUAUAUUUGGUAAGAGAAAGAAAAUUGAUUUGUAUUUACAGGCAUUCUGGGGAAAACAAAAUGUGCCAUUCAGUUCAGCAGCUAGUGCUUAGUGACUGAAUAGCAAGGUCGGACUUCUUUCUGGUUUGUUUGUUUGCUUUUCUCUUGGUUCUUUUUUGAAAGGAUUUGAAUGUCUAUGUAUGUCUCCAAAAUGCGUUUCUAUCCCAGAUCUUAUGGGAUAUGGAGUGCGCGAUGAUAGGGAGAAGGCAGUAUUUUCGAUCUAUUGUACUGACUUGCAAGUCAAGGUAAAUACAGGUUAAUAAAUGAAAAGGAAAAAGAGAAAAGAAAACAAAUGAUGCAAAGGCAAUCACUCACCAUCUCCCACCAGCUUACCGAUGGCCAGUCAGACUCUGAUCAAUGGCUAUUUUGGCAAAACUCCACCUCUGCACACCACCCUGUUUUCUCAUUAGGAUGGGAGAGUGAGAAACAGAAAAAGCCUUGACACUGUGUAAGCACUGUUGAGAAGCGGCUAAACUACUGGUGCAUUAUCAGCAUCGUUUUGGUCACAAAUCCAUAAUGCAGCACCAUACAGGGUGCUAUGAAGAAAACUAACUCCAUCUCAGUCAGAUCCAGUACAGUGAGAAUAGAGCACAACCCCUUUAAAACUUUGGUAUCUUAAGAAAUGCUGAUAAUUAUCAGGAGAAACACAAGUACUAGGGAUCAUUUGGACUAGAUCCUUCAACCACGUAGCUCAAACAAUCAGUUCUUGAAGAGGCCAACCUUCCUGGUCAGCUAUUUUAGUUAAAAAAAAAAAAAAAAAAAAUUCUGGAAACACUGUAAAAUAUUUGCAGUAACAAAUGAAGUGAAACACAGUAUCAAACACAAUCUGUGCUUAACAGAGAAUACCUUAAUGCAGGAGGAAACUAUGGAUUUUGUGUAAAUAAGUAUCAGCCCUUGGUGAAUGCUCACUGGGUAAUUAGUUGUACAGCAGCAAGAUAACAUUCAAAAAUGGAUACUAUCUUGUGAAGUGUUAAUAACUUGCCAUCAAAUAGUAAAAAGAAACUUGAUAUGAGCCAAGUAAUUAUUUGUUCUUUGAAGAACUAUGUAAUUCUGAACUGUAAAUAUAUUUUUUUUUCUGGUGAUAUUUCUGUCAUUCCUUUUGGGAAGACAAUGGUAGAUGUACAGUGUCUCCCACAGCUGACACUCCCUAUAUUCACAAAUGGUAGAAUUCUGGGACAGGUUU